rnacentral:pre_miRNA from 1 species
UACGUAGUUCGGUAUCGGUGAAUGCCAACGGAUUUCAUAGCUACUAGCUAUACUCACAGAAAUCCUUUGAUAUUCACCGGUAUCGCGCUACGUA